CAUGCAAGUCGAGGGGCAGCAUGGUCUUAGCUUGCUAAGGCUGAUGGCGACCGGCGCACGGGUGAGUAACACGUAUCCAACCUGCCGUCUACUCUUGGCCAGCCUUCUGAAAGGAAGAUUAAUCCAGGAUGGGAUCAUGAGUUCACAUGUCCGCAUGAUUAAAGGUAUUUUCCGGUAGACGAUGGGGAUGCGUUCCAUUAGAUAGUAGGCGGGGUAACGGCCCACCUAGUCAACGAUGGAUAGGGGUUCUGAGAGGAAGGUCCCCCACAUUGGAACUGAGACACGGUCCAAACUCCUACGGGAGGCAGCAGUGAGGAAUAUUGGUCAAUGGGCGAUGGCCUGAACCAGCCAAGUAGCGUGAAGGAUGACUGCCCUAUGGGUUGUAAACUUCUUUUAUAAAGGAAUAAAGUCGGGUAUGCAUACCCGUUUGCAUGUACUUUAUGAAUAAGGAUCGGCUAACUCCGUGCCAGCAGCCGCGGUAAUACGGAGGAUCCGAGCGUUAUCCGGAUUUAUUGGGUUUAAAGGGAGCGUAGAUGGAUGUUUAAGUCAGUUGUGAAAGUUUGCGGCUCAACCGUAAAAUUGCAGUUGAUACUGGAUGUCUUGAGUGCAGUUGAGGCAGGCGGAAUUCGUGGUGUAGCGGUGAAAUGCUUAGAUAUCACGAAGAACUCCGAUUGCGAAGGCAGCCUGCUAAGCUGCAACUGACAUUGAGGCUCGAAAGUGUGGGUAUCAAACAGGAUUAGAUACCCUGGUAGUCCACACGGUAAACGAUGAAUACUCGCUGUUUGCGAUAUACGGCAAGCGGCCAAGCGAAAGCGUUAAGUAUUCCACCUGGGGAGUACGCCGGCAACGGUGAAACUCAAAGGAAUUGACGGGGG
rnacentral:rRNA from 1 species